rnacentral:misc_RNA from 2 species
AAGUCGUAACAAGGUCUCCGUUGGUGAACCAGCGGAGGGAUCAUUACAGGACUCGCAAGACUCCUACAACCCUGUGAACCUACUAUACGAACGUUGCUUCGGCGGGUGCGCCCCGGGGAUUCGUUCCCGCGGCGCGUCAGCCCGCCGGCAGCCUACAAAUUCUGUUUCUUUGCGUUGGCAUCUCGAGAAAAACAAAUAAGUUAAAACUUUCAACAACGGAUCUCUUGGUUCUG